AACGCUGGCGGCAGGCCUAACACAUGCAAGUCGAGCGGAUGACGGGAGCUUGCUCCUUGAUUCAGCGGCGGACGGGUGAGUAAUGCCUAGGAAUCUGCCUGGUAGUGGGGGACAACGUUUCGAAAGGAACGCUAAUACCGCAUACGUCCUACGGGAGAAAGCAGGGGACCUUCGGGCCUUGCGCUAUCAGAUGAGCCUAGGUCGGAUUAGCUAGUAGGUGAGGUAAUGGCUCACCUAGGCGACGAUCCGUAACUGGUCUGAGAGGAUGAUCAGUCACACUGGAACUGAGACACGGUCCAGACUCCUACGGGAGGCAGCAGUGGGGAAUAUUGGACAAUGGGCGAAAGCCUGAUCCAGCCAUGCCGCGUGUGUGAAGAAGGUCUUCGGAUUGUAAAGCACUUUAAGUUGGGAGGAAGGGCAGUAAGUUAAUACCUUGCUGUUUUGACGUUACCGACAGAAUAAGCACCGGCUAACUCUGUGCCAGCAGCCGCGGUAAUACAGAGGGUGCAAGCGUUAAUCGGAAUUACUGGGCGUAAAGCGCGCGUAGGUGGUUCGUUAAGUUGGAUGUGAAAGCCCCGGGCUCAACCUGGGAACUGCAUCCAAAACUGGCGAGCUAGAGUAUGGUAGAGGGUGGUGGAAUUUCCUGUGUAGCGGUGAAAUGCGUAGAUAUAGGAAGGAACACCAGUGGCGAAGGCGACCACCUGGACUGAUACUGACACUGAGGUGCGAAAGCGUGGGGAGCAAACAGGGUUAGAUACCCUGGUAGUCCACGCCGUAAACGCUGUAAAGUGGCCGUUGGAAUCCUUGAGAUUUUAGUGGCGCAGCUAACUCAUUAAGUUACCGC
rnacentral:rRNA from 1 species